rnacentral:rRNA from 1 species
AGAGUUUGAUCCUGGCUCAGAACUAACGCUGGCGGCGUGCCUAACACAUGCAAGUCGUGCGGAUAUAUCAGGGUAGCAAUACUCUGGUAUCUUAGCGGCAAACGGGUGAGUAAUACAUAGGUAAUCUUCCUUCGGGUAAGGGAUAACCCGGCGAAAGCUGGGCUAAUACCAUACGAUACUGUAUUAUGAAAACGGUGCAGUCAAAGCAGUGAUGCGCCCGAAGAUGAGCCUAUGGCCUAUCAGCUAGAUGGUGGGGUAACGGCCUACCAUGGCUAAGACGGGUAACCGGCUUGAGAGGGUGCUCGGUCACACUGGAAUUGAGAAACGGUCCAGACUCCUACGGGAGGCAGCAGUGGGGAAUAUUCCGCAAUGGGCGAAAGCCUGACGGAGCGACGCCGCGGGGAUGAUGACGGUCUUCGGAUUGUAAAGUCCUGUAGAGGGGGAAGAAGGGUGCCGUAAGGCAUUUGACAGUACUCCUAAAGUAAGCUACGGCAAACUCUGUGCCAGCAGCCGCGGUAAUACAGAGGUAGCAAGCGUUGUUCGGAAUGACUGGGUGUAAAGCGCGUGUAGGCUCUUAUAAGUUGAAUGUGAAAUCCCUUGGCUCAACCAAGGAACGGCAUUCAAAACUGCAAGACUUGAGUGCGGAAGAGGAAAGUGGAAUUUCGGGUGUAGCGGUGAAAUGCGUAGAUAUCCGAAGGAACACCGGUGGCGAAGGCGACUUUCUGGUCCGCAACUGACGCUGAGACGCGAAAGCUAGGGGAGCAAACAGGAUUAGAUACCCUGGUAGUCCUAGCCGUAAACGAUGUACACUAGGUGUGCCCUCCUUAGGGGGGUGUGCCGAAGCUAACGCAUUAAGUGUACCACCUGGGGAGUACGGCCGCAAGGUUGAAACUCAAAGGAAUUGACGGGGGCCCGCACAAGAGGUGGAGCAUGUGGUUUAAUUCGACGCUACGCGAAGAACCUUACCUGGGCUUGACAUACUGGUAGUAGGAACCCGAAAGGGCAACGAUCCCCUUAAAAGGAAGCCAGAACAGGUGCUGCAUGGCUGUCGUCAGCUCGUGUCGUGAGAUGUUGGGUUAAGUCCCGCAACGAGCGCAACCCCUAUCUUUAGUUGCCCAUCCGGAUUCGUCCGGGAGGCUACUCUAAAGAAACUGCCACGGACAACGUGGAGGAAGGUGGGGAUGACGUCAAGUCCGCAUGUCCUUUAUGUCCAGGGCCACACACGUGCUACAAUGACGCGUACAAAGGGUUGCCAAACCGCAAGGUGGAGCUAAUCCCAAAAAACGCGCCUCAGUUCAGAUUGGAGGCUGCAACUCGCCUCCAUGAAGCUGGAAUCUCUAGUAAUCGCGGAUCAGCCACGCCGCGGUGAAUACGUUCCCGGGCCUUGUACACACCGCCCGUCACACCACGAAAGCCCGUUGUACUUGAAGAUGAAUUUCCCUCACGGGAGUCAGAUAGAGUAUAACUGGUGAUUGGGGUGAAGUCGUAACAAGGUA